GUACGCUUGAUAUCACUGCUGACAUCGACUACACCCCCUCCUCCUCCCCCUCCCUCCCCCUCUCUCUCUCUCUCUCUCUCUCUCUCUCUGCUGUCAAAGAGCUCUCGCACCAGCGAGUGUGCGGUCCUGCAUCGCCUUCACUUGUGUGCGUAGUGGAGCAGAUGAGAAGGGAGGAGGUGAGGCAGAAGACGGAACUGUAACCCGUGUGAGCAGAAACGCAGGAUGGAGGAUGACUGAAUUGCACAGAGGGAUAUUUACUCAGGGGACAAAGUGUUGGCGGGGCAACUGAGGCCCCCUGAAGCCUCUCUUGGUAAUCUCAGAAAAUGCCACGAGGCUCAUCCGUAUGGUGGAGUGGUGGUGUUUCCCCGUAAAGAAGCUGAAGAGGAAAAAGGCGCUUUGAAGUCUUAACAUUCAAAGCUGCAGUGAGAUGUACAGGCAGGUUUCUCUGCUUCUGUCCGAUCGAAAUAUUCAGCACAACGCAAUGUGCAUCGUGCCCCUUUUACAUUCCCAGUACAUAUCGACUUUCUUCUCCUCACAACACCAUGCAUUUAGCUACGUGAUGAGAAUACACUGAGCUAAGUUCAUCUGUGGACAAGAGCAAUCAGAAUCAUACGGAUCCAGGCUUCUGCAAAUAAGUGUUAAAUCAAGACAUUGGAUAUAUUGAGUCUCACUUGUUCCAUAAUAGUGAACUAAAGAUCAACACCAGACUCUGCAGACCGGCCUUCAUCAUGGAAUCUGAAGAGAGGAUGACAGGCCUGUCCACAGCUGCCAUGGUGGCCAUAGCCUGCAACACAUUCGUCGCCAUCCUCCUCCUUCUUCUGUGUCUUAUCCUGUACCGAGCCUGCGGGGUCCCCUCCAGCCAAGAGAGGCUGCCGGUGCUGGGCCUGAGUGAAGAAGAAACCCCUCAGGUGAACCAGCACAAGUACCUGUUGACCUCCUGACUGCCGACGGAUGAGUCAAAUGCAGCGUUGAGAAGCUGGCGAGGGAGCACUGGGACCGACUGCGAGCAGGAAUUAGACUUUAGAAUUAGAUUUUAAACUCAGCUGCCGAGCUGGUGGCAGGAGUGUCGCUGAGCCUCCCGGAGGUAGCGAGGAUGGAUUGUGGUGGAAGUGAGUGGACUACUUUUCUUAUGCAGCUGUCGCUCGUCAGAUCGCGUCGUGUGGAGGAACGCUAAAUGAGAAUGUCUAGCAUAGACGCACGCGCACACACACACACACACACACACACACACACACACACACACACACACAUAUGCAUAGGAAAUGACAAGGCCACAAAGAUGGAUGUAGGUUACAUAAAGGCGGAGAGAGCGCGACGUUCAGUACACAAAGAGCGGCUGCCCUGUUGCUGGAGGUUUCUAAAUAUAUCUUCUCUGUACUCUCUCCGGGAAAAAAGACAAUGCCAGUAUAUUGCUGAAAACAGGGACUUCAGCCUGCACAGUGUGUGUGUGUGUGUGUGUGUGUGUGUGUGUCAUUGUCACUCAUAAAAAAACAGCGAUCUGUGAGGCAUAGCUCCUUGAUGAGGGUGUUACAUAAGGACUAGAGAGGCUUAGUCGAGAUUUGUGUCCUCUUCAACACGGCCCUCGCGCUGACAUCUGCUUGCGGCUGCACGUGACGUCCCACCCGCUCCGGACUGAAUCACAGCUCGCACACAUCAGUCAUGUGGAGUUCUACAGAUCACAAAAACAAACCACUGCAAAUGAUCAAUACUUCUUUGUGUGUACGUGUAUGGCCUGUGCUUCAGAGUCAACGAGUUGUAGAGUUAGAAGAUAUAAUGUACCACUAUGUACAUUGUGUAUGUACACAAUGUAAACUUUAAAAUCAGAGGACUCAGAAUAUAUUAGUGUUGAUGACAUUAAAACAAUUGUGUGACUACUGUGUGUAGAAUUUAAGAUUUCAAACUUCGGGGUAACCCGGGUCAGUGAGUGUGCAGCCGAGGCGCCCCGGGACGGUGGCAUCGGACCCAUCGUCCGAUGGACCCUCCAUGGAACUGCUCCACCACGAUUUUAGUACCGCAUUCCCCGGCUGCAGCCAUCUAUCCAAUGCAACCGGGGAACCGGGCCCCUCCCUUGGUCCUCGAGGGGACUGCCCCAGCCGGUCCACGACGGCUCUUUUUACUUCUGCGUGGAUGCGUCUGGCCUCGGCUGGAAGCUCUGGACGAGAUGCUAGCAUGCUAACACCCUGUUCGCUUGCAGUAACUAACCUUUUAGGUAGCGGAAUAUAGAAUGGGUUUAAGAAAUCCCUGCAUUAAGAAUGAAAAUUCUAAUGUUGCGUUGUUUAAAAUGUAUUAAGUACUACAGCAUGAAUAAAUGCAUUGAUUAUUCAAACUGAAUCAAAUGUAGACAUCAGACAAAAAACAUUUUUAAUAAAGAUAUAGAAAUACAA